rnacentral:rRNA from 1 species
UACGGGGGGAGCAAGCGUUGUUCGGAUUUACUGGGCGUAAAGGGCGCGUAGGCGGUCAGCACAAGUCAGUUGUGAAAUCUCCGGGCUUAACUCGGAAAGGUCAACUGAUACUGUGCGACUAGAGUGCGGAAGGGGCAACUGGAAUUCUCGGUGUAGCGGUGAAAUGCGUAGAUAUCGAGAGGAACACCUGCGGCGAAGGCGGGUUGCUGGGCCGACACUGACGCUGGGGCGCGAAAGCCAGGGGAGCGAACGGG